rnacentral:rRNA from 13 species
CACAGACAGCUAGGAGGUUGGCUUAGAAGCAGCCAUCCUUUAAAGAAAGCGUAAUAGCUCACUAGUCGAGUCGGCCUGCGCGGAAGAUGUAACGGGGCUCAAACUGGUUACCGAAGCUGCGGCUGUGCACGCAAGUGCACGGGGUAGGGGAGCGUUCUGUAAGCCUGCGAAGGUGUGUCGAGAGGCAUGCUGGAGGUAUCAGAAGUGCGAAUGCUGACAUGAGUAACGAUAAUGGGGGUGAAAAACCUCCACGCCGGAAGACCAAGGGUUCCUGCGCAACGCUAAUCGGCGCAGGGUGAGCCGGCCCCUAAGACGAGCCCGAAGGGGGUAGUCGAUGGGAACCACGUUAAUAUUCGUGGGCCAGGAGGAUGUGACGGAUCAUGAAGGUUGUUCACUCUUAUUGGAUUGAGUGGGCCGCUAAUUGGUUCCUGGAAAUAGCCCUCCAUCAGACCGUACCCUAAACCAACACAGGUGGACUGGUAGAGAAUACCAAGGCGCUUGAGAGAACUAUCUUGAAGGAACUCGGCAAAAUACCUCCGUAAGUUCGCGAGAAGGAGGCCCAGUGUUUACGCAAGUAGAUACUGGGGGCACAAACUAGGGGGUGGCGACUGUUUACUAAAAACACAGGGCUCUGCGAAGUCGCAAGACGACGUAUAGGGUCUGACGCCUGCCCGGUGCCUGAAGGUUAAAAGGAGGGGUGAGAGCUCUGAAUUGAAGCCCAGGUAAACGGCGGCCGUAACAAUAACGGUCCUAAGGUAGCGAAAUUCCUUGUCGGGUAAGUUCCGACCUGCACGAAUGGCGUAACGACUGCCCUACUGUCUCCAACGCGGACUCAGCGAAAUUGAACUCUCCGUGAAGAUGCGGAGUUCCCGCGGUUAGACGGAAAGACCCCG